AAAGGUCUCUAGGAACAGCGGCCAUCCUCUCCGAUUUUCCAUAGCGGAAAUCCAGGAGUAUAUAUAUUUCCGAUUUAAGUUGGAAAAGAGCCUCGUUUACGAGAUUUUUAUUUUUUUCACCCUAACAGACUCAUCAGCACUACUGAAAACCCUGUUAAAACCAGUAACUACUUAUGCUCUGCUCUGAGGAUUUUCACCUGCUAGUGUCCAGCAUUACUGGCAGCACUACAACAGCAUAUUUUCCCCAUUGAAAUAAUAGACAAGAAUAAUACCGUCUGUGUCCACUUCCUUGGUUGCUUCUGGUUGGCUUCAGCUUCACUAAGUUUGAAGUCAGCCUGAUUUUCUACAGAAAUCAGUGGUCCUAAUCAACAGCAGCCUGCUCCUGUUGGCAACCCACCUGAGCAGGAGAGAUGAACAAGCUGACCUCCAGAGGACCCUUCCUACCUCAGCCAUUCUGUGGUUCUAGGCUAACAGUUCCCCAUGUCCCUAAGAAAGCAGUCCAAGAAGUUUAUUCUGCUGACACAAAAUAAACAUGGUAUUGGCAGAAAGGCACAACACAAGUCACCAAAUAGCAGGCACAUCAGUUUGCACAGGAAACCAGGCCAUUACUUGAGGAGUACAAUAGCAUUUGUGGAGACAAGCUGGAGAAACCUACCUACACCCCACAUCUCCUUUCAGUGCUGCAAACCCAGAGAAGAUAAAUCAUGGUUGAUGUGAUUUGCUUUUCUCUCAUGUGCUUUCACCAGCCCUGAGAUCCUCACUAGACAAAGGCUUACUAUGUCUGCCAUCGGGCUCUGUCAGCCCAUCUUCCUGAAUGACCAUGCUGGGGUGCAAUUCUGACACAGACAGGGCAUCAGUGUACACAGGUGCCUCUACAGUCCAAGCAUUUGUGCCCCACAGAGCAUCAGGGCCCAGCAUCAGCAAUCAGUCAGCAUGCCUUCUGACCAACCAGCUUUGUAAUGUCAGGAGGUUUUAUCUUCCCAUAUUGAUGUGUUUGUAUGCCCUGAGGCACCAUAUGGAAGCAGACUUUGCUGAAGCUUUGGAAUUCAGGCUCCACUGGAAAGGAAACAACUCCCGUUAACAUUUGUUUUCCACAUUUUUGUUUGCUUUCUUUAAUUAAAAUAGAUUACUCACAAAAACUACUUCAGCAAACUAGAUCCAACGCAUCUUAAAUUCCCAAACCAAAUUCAUCCCUGGAUCUAUCUGGUAUUCCUCUAGAAGAUCUAACAAAUUGUGGUGUAAAUAGCAAUCACUCCUGGAGGCAGCGCUGCUGGGGAAUUACUGGGACUGUGUCCUCCGGGGAAGGUCCUGCCAGGCUGGGUGCAAGGACACAGGUUUAUUACACAGUUCUUCCUCCAGAUCACGGCUGUGUUUUGCUUUAAAGACUCUUCCCAAUCAGCUGGGCCCAAUCAAGGACCUACUGCAGGAGAUUCAAGAGCCAUUUCCAGAAGCUGUAUGGUCAAAGCCCUUCAGACAUCACCCAUCUGGGGCAUGAGGUGGGGGUCACAGGAACAGGUCCGGGAGUAGAAGUCUGAAAGUUGCUUCAUCAACUUUAAUGCUUAAGCAAGAAGUAAUUUACUCUGUGCGUUGAGUUCAGGCCUUGCAAACUGCAUCCUAUCCGUGGUGGUGCUCAAGGCCAGGCUGGAUGGGCCCAGAGCAGCCUGAUCUGCUACGAGGCAGCCCUGCUUGGAGCGGGGGGAUGGGACUGAGCGGUCCGCAGGUAUGCAGGGUGCAGCUUUGCCUGCUGUUUGGUUGUGGAGCACACCUGGUAAAUGGGACAGGGUCUGUGAGGCCCUGGAUGGGCGUGGGGGACAAGCAGUGUGUUUUGUUACUUAGAAAUGUAAUGCAACAUCAUUACAUAAAAGAGGUUGAUUAAAUCCCUGUAUGGAACUCUGCAAUUUCUUACUGUAUUUCCAGAGUAGUCAAUUUUACACCCUUAUGUAAUAAAAUAGCUAGUAAGAAAUGUAAGGAUGAGAAU
ensembl:lncRNA